UGAAUAAAUAUAAAGAGAAUUUUAGUAUUUGAGCUAAUAAUGUUUAGCAUUCGGACUAGUAAGGUAGAAUUCAAUUUGUUACCCAGAUUGAUUCCUCAAUUUCCAAUCUCUUAUUUUUUUGUAUUUGUCCAUGAGAUAGUUUGCUAAGGGACGACCUGUGAUGAUGAAGACUGUGUAUUUUCCCUUCUUUUCCUUUUCUCUUCUUAACCUUUCAAAACUUUCAAUUUGUUGAGACGUUGAUAUCUCCUAUUAUUGAUCACUAAGAAUUGGACUUGCAUGGAGAGGAAUAUUUUGCUGUACAGAACCUAUAAUGGCUUCCAUUUUGGAUUCCAAAUUCUCAUUUUUUCGUCAACAUAAGAUUUCACAAAACUUAAACUAGUAUCAACAUAAGACUGCACGUCCUGGUAAUGAUCUUGUUGCCAUUUUUGUUGCUGUUAGAAUAAUUCUUCUUGCCUCUGAAGAAUUACCUGAUAAUGGGCUUCUUCUUUUUUGUGAUUCCUUAGCAUUAUAUGUGUUAAACAAACUUAGUAGUGAACUAUCCAUGUAAGAAUGCAUACCAGACCGCAUGUAAUCUUGUUUCCAUUUGUUAUGUUGUUCAAAGAGCUAUUUUUGGUUUUCAAGGAUCGCAUGGUAAUGAGCUCUUGAUUCUUCAAUAAUUUUUGCCUUCAAGUUGUCACACAGAUCGGAUACAUCUAAUAUUAUAUGUUGCUUGUACAUUUCCAGCACUUCUUCCAUUCGGUCUUUAGUUAUAUAAUUGGAGCCAUCAGAAGCAGAACUAGGUCCAAUUCCAGUUGAAGUUCUCGAUGUACCAAGAAUGGUCGUUUCUUUCACAGGGAUGUUAUCCGGGAUUUGUUGUGCUAUAUUAUCUAAUUAUCCAUUCACAAUGGCAUCUAAUAUACUAUAUUUAUUGUCAACUGGUAGUGAAUGAGUUGUGCACCACUAUGUUUGUAAUUCUUCUUUCGUAGGCUACAACACUGUAAUUACUUGAAUCUGU
rnacentral:lncRNA from 1 species